UGGGGAAUAUUGCACAAUGGGGGAAACCCUGAUGCAGCGACGCCGCGUGAAGGAAGAAGUAUCUCGGUAUGUAAACUUCUAUCAGCAGGGAAGAAAAUGACGGUACCUGACUAAGAAGCCCCGGCUAACUACGUGCCAGCAGCCGCGGUAAUACGUAGGGGGCAAGCGCUAUCCGGAUUUGCUGGGUGUAAAGGGAGCGUAGACGGAGCAGCAAGUCUGAUGUGAAAGGCAGGGGGCUCAACCCCUGGACUGCAUUGGAAACUGUGGAUCUAGAGUGCCGGAGAGGUAAGCGGAAUUCCUAGUGUAGCGGUGAAAUGCGUAGAUAUUAGGAGGAACACCAGUGGCGAAGGCGGCUUACUGGACGGUAACUGACGUUGAGGCUCGAAAAGCGUGGGGAGCAAACAGGAUUAGAUCACCC
rnacentral:rRNA from 1 species